rnacentral:rRNA from 1 species
ACGAUCCCUAGCUGGUCUGAGAGGAUGAUCAGCCACACUGGAACUGAGACACGGUCCAGACUCCUACGGGAGGCAGCAGUGGGGAAUAUUGCACAAUGGGCGCAAGCCUGAUGCAGCCAUGCCGCGUGUGUGAAGAAGGCCUUCGGGUUGUAAAGCACUUUCAGUCGUGAGGAAGGUAGUGUAGUUAAUAGCUGCAUUAUUUGACGUUAGCGACAGAAGAAGCACCGGCUAACUCCGUGCCAGCAGCCGCGGUAAUACGGAGGGUGCGAGCGUUAAUCGGAAUUACUGGGCGUAAAGCGCAUGCAGGUGGUUUGUUAAGUCAGAUGUGAAAGCCCGGGGCUCAACCUCGGAAUUGCAUUUGAAACUGGCAGACUAGAGUACUGUAGAGGGGGGUAGAAUUUCAGGUGUAGCGGUGAAAUGCGUAGAGAUCUGAAGGAAUACCGGUGGCGAAGGCGGCCCCCUGGACAGAUACUGACACUCAGAUGCGAAAGCGUGGGGAGCAAACAGGAUUAGAUACCCUGGUAGUCCACGCCGUAAACGAUGUCUACUUGGAGGUUGUGGCCUUGAGCCGUGGCUUUCGGAGCUAACGCGUUAAGUAGACCGCCUGGGGAGUACGGUCGCAAGAUUAAAACUCAAAUGAAUUGACGGGGGCCCGCACAAGCGGUGGAGCAUGUGGUUUAAUUCGAUGCAACGCGAAGAACCUUACCUACUCUUGACAUCCAGAGAACUUUCCAGAGAUGGAUUGGUGCCUUCGGGAACUCUGAGACAGGUGCUGCAUGGCUGUCGUCAGCUCGUGUUGUGAAAUGUUGGGUUAAGUCCCGCAACGAGCGCAACCCUUAUCCUUGUUUGCCAGCGAGUAAUGUCGGGAACUCCAGGGAGACUGCCGGUGAUAAACCGGAGGAAGGUGGGGACGACGUCAAGUCAUCAUGGCCCUUACGAGUAGGGCUACACACGUGCUACAAUGGCGCAUACAGAGGGCAGCCAACUUGCGAAAGUGAGCGAAUCCCAAAAAGUGCGUCGUAGUCCGGAUUGGAGUCUGCAACUCGACUCCAUGAAGUCGGAAUCGCUAGUAAUCGUGGAUCAGAAUGCCACGGUGAAUACGUUCCCGGGCCUUGUACACACCGCCCGUCACACCAUGGGAGUGGGCUGCAAAAGAAGUAGGUAGUUUAACCUUCGGGGGGACGCUUACCACUUUGUGGUUCAUGACUGGGGUGAAGUCGUAACAAGGUAGCGCUAGGGGAACCUGGCGCUGGAUCACCUCCUUAAACGAUGAU